GACGAACCGUGCGAACGUUGUUCGGAAUCACUGGGCUUAAAGGGCGCGUAGGCGGCGCCGUCAGUCCGGGGUGAAAGCCCCCAGCUCAACUGGGGAAGGGCCUCGGAAACUGCGGCACUGGAGGAAGGUAGGGGUCGCGGGAACUUCUGGUGGAGCGGUGAAAUGCGUUGAUAUCAGAAGGAACGCCGGUGGCGAAAGCGCGACGACGUGGACCUUACUGACGCUGAGGCGCGAA
rnacentral:rRNA from 1 species